AAUUCGAAACGGACAUCUGAUAUUUGGGUGGGAACUGGGAAGAACGUAAAAAUGAAGUGAAAAUUAGCUGUCUGAUUGAUUGACCUAGGAUUUAUUUAUAGAAAAGCUACAACAGCUCGAAGUGCAUCACAAAAUGCUUUUAAGAGAGUAUUUGGGAGUUUUGGAAAAAUGUUUCUAAACUUUUGAUUUUAGAAAAAUAUAUUUGAGCUGUUUGAAAUGUAACUUUUAUUUCUAAAACUGUUAAAAAAAAUGCUUUUAUGUCCAAAGGUAGAAACAGUUUGGGUUAUGUGGUGGGAUCACCGAUUGCGAUUAUAGUGAGUAAAAAGGUGUUGGCCUGAAUCCAAUGUCUUCAUGCCCAACUCAAGCAUUCAUUCACUCUACUCUUUUUUGCUCUUCCCUCUUCAAUAGACGCUAUGCAGUUUCUUCUUCACCUUCUUGGUACUAGCGAGGUGAUUGCGGCGAUUUGCUUGCUAAUGAUGGGAUCAGCUACAUGAGAUGAUUCCAUGCACAAAGGAGUGAUAUCUAAGCCAACUUUUACAGGUAAUUCAUGUUUGCUUGACGGAACAUUUUUUGAGGAAACCUUUGAACAGCUUCUUAGGGUGGACACAAGUUCCUGUUAAAACAUUCAGGGAGGGGGCUGUUCAUGGGGGGACAAAGUGUGAGGAAGGCGUUUAGAGAUGAGCUUUCCUUGCUUCAGAAAACGCGACAUUUGGAUGUUGUUGGGGUGGAUAAAAGUUGCUGCUAAAACCAUUCAGGGGGGAGCUGCCGAAGAGGAUAAAGUUGAGGUCUUUAAACAGCCAAAUGUUUGGAGAUAAGCCUCCUUUGCUUCAGAAGAUACAACAUCCAAAUGUUGUCCAGUUUCUUGGUAUUGUAAAGCGAACUGGUCCUUCGAUGAUUGACGGAAUAUUUACCAAAGGGAGAUGCUCUGACGAAUUCCGGAGACACAGUAUAAUCUGAUGCUUGCAGCCACACUUCCCUACCUUCCAAUACUAUGGUCAUCAUUAAUGGUUAGCAUCAAUGGCAACAUUAACAAGUAGUUCUACUCUUCUUUAUACUGUAUUACAGGUUGAUCGAAGAGUGUUGGAUUGAGAACCCAUCUAAUAGACUGAGUUUAAUCAAAUCAUUCCUCAGAUGGAGGCCAUAUACAACGGUGUUACCCAUAAAGAAGAAAUCGUCUCUCUCUUCCCCUAUCUCCUCCUUCACUCCUCUCUCAAUGGCCUCCCUCUGCUCUUUCUUCCACAUCUGUUUCCUUUAGUUUGUUUUGUGUGUAAACGUUGUACACUUGCAUGAGAUUGAUGAAUAUGCAAGUUGACGGAUGCUAGUGCAACUGGGCGAUUUGAGUUAUCUUCAUUACUAGAUCUUUGAUAUCCAAGUACCAUGAAUGAAAAUGCACGGAGUACUAAAAGUUUCAAACAAAUCUGUUUAGUGUUGAGUCCCUCUAAGAUUAUCAAGAGAGCAAGGAGGACAGAAAUAUUUUGUUUUUACAUGCUGAUAUAUAAUGGGCGAGGCCCCAGUAUCCUGUCAAUCCGACGCAGAAUGAUUAUAGUGGUCGGUUGCAUUAAUAGUGAUAGCCUAAUGUGUAACUAUAUG